AGCGAACGCUGGCGGCAGGCUUAACACAUGCAAGUCGAGCGGGCACUUCGGUGUCAGCGGCAGACGGGUGAGUAACACGUGGGAACGUACCCUUUGGUUCGGAAUAACGCUGGGAAACUAGCGCUAAUACCGGAUACGCCCUUUUGGGGAAAGGCUUGCUGCCGAAGGAUCGGCCCGCGUCUGAUUAGCUAGUUGGUGGGGUAAUGGCCUACCAAGGCGACGAUCAGUAGCUGGUCUGAGAGGAUGAACAGCCGCACUGGGACUGAGACACGGCCCAGACUCCUACGGGAGGAAGCAGUGGGGAAUAUUGGACAAUGGGCGCAAGCCUGAGCCAGCAAUGCCGCGUGAGUGAUGAAGGCGUUAGAGUUGUAAAGCUCUUUUGUCCGGGACGAUAAUGACGGUACCGGAAGAAUAAGCCCCGGCUAACUUCGUG
rnacentral:rRNA from 1 species